rnacentral:misc_RNA from 1 species
CGGUUCUGGCAUCGAUGAAGAACGCAGCGAAAUGCGAUAAGUAAUGUGAAUUGCAGAAUUCAGUGAAUCAUCGAGUUUUUGAACGCACAUUGCGCCCGCUGGUACUCCGGCGGGCACACCUGUUCGAGCGUCAUUUCAAACCUCAAGCACGGCUUGGUAUUGGGCGGACGCCCCCGGGUAGCGGGGCUCGCCUGAAACCCGUCGGCGGUACGGCUUCUGUGCCUGGGUCGAGAGUAGCGGGCUGUAAAAGGCGUCUCUCGUGCCCGGCACCCGUGCCCGCCGGUAAACGACCCAUCGCAAGUUUGACCUCGGAUCAGGUGGGGAUACCCGCUGA